GACCAUUACCGCCCUGCUCCUUCUCUUCGUUCUCAUAGGCGCGGCGAGUGCCGCGGCUAUAAACUCUGUGAAUGAAGGUGACAACGCGUUAGGCGUGGCCAUGGAGGCUCUCACAAGUGAUGAUGACAUGGUGAAUGAAGAUGAUUGCAAUGGCCUGUUUGGCUGCGGUGGGCUCCCAGGUGUUCCUGAAGAAUGAACUUGGCAUCUUGUAUUGGAGAUUCAAAAGCAAACACUUACACACGCACCUGGGACUAAAUGGACUUAACUAAAUCAUCUGACAUUGCAAUUCAAUUUCAUUAUUAUUAUUCUUGUCAUGAAUAGAUGACAACUUGUUUGAUUACAUUUAGGUAUAUGGUAUUGU